GAUGAACGCUGGCGGCGUGCCUAAUACAUGCAAGUCGAGCGAACAGACGAGGAUCUUGCUCCUCUUACGUUAGCGGCGGACGGGUGAGUAACACGUGAAUAACCUCCCUACAAGACUGGGAUAACUUCGGGAAACCGGAGUAAAUACUGGUUAAUAUAUUGAACCUCAUGUUUCAAUAGUGACAGACGGUUUUGCUGUCACUCAUAGAUGGACCCGCGCCGCAUUAGCUAGUUUGUAAGGUACCUGCUUAACAAGGCGACGCUGCGUAGCCGACCUGCGAGGGUGAUCGGCCACACUGGAACUGAGACACGGUCCAGACUCCUACGGGAGGCAGCAGUAGGGAAUCUGCCGCAAUGGGCGAAAGCCUGACGGAGCAACGCCGCGUGAGUGAUGAAGGUCUUCGGAUCGUAAGACUCUGUUAUUAGGGAAGAAAAAAUGUGUAAGUAACUAUGCACGUCUUGACGGUACCAAAUGAGAAAGCGACGGCUAACUACGUG
rnacentral:rRNA from 1 species